CCUACGGGAGGCAGCAGUGGGGAAUUUUGGACAAUGGACGCAAGUCUGAUCCAGCCAUUCCGCGUGCAGGAUGAAGGCCUUCGGGUUGUAAACUGCUUUUGUACAGAACGAAAAGGUCUCCAUUAAUACUGGGGGCUCAUGACGGUACUGUAAGAAUAAGCACCGGCUAACUACGUGCCAGCAGCCGCGGUAAUACGUAGGGUGCAAGCGUUAAUCGGAAUUACUGGGCGUAAAGCGUGCGCAGGCGGUUAUGUAAGACAGAUGUGAAAUCCCCGGGCUCAACCUGGGAACUGCAUUUGUGACUGCAUAGCUAGAGUACGGCAGAGGGGGAUGGAAUUCCGCGUGUAGCAGUGAAAUGCGUAGAUAUGCGGAGGAACACCGAUGGCGAAGGCAAUCCCCUGGACCUGCACUGACGCUCAUGCACGAAAGCGUGGGGAGCAAACAGGAUUAGAUACCCUGGUAGUCCACGCCCUAAACGAUGUCAACUGGUUGUUGGGUCUUAACUGACUCAGUAACGAAGCUACGUGUGAAGUGACCGCCUG
rnacentral:rRNA from 1 species